rnacentral:lncRNA from 1 species
UCUUCUCUUCUUUGUCAAGGAAUGCUUUACUCUUCAAGGGUUGGUGGAGCUCUUAAUGCCUCUUUUGUCUGCUCAACCACUUCCUUUUAACUCUUGAAUGAAGCACCUUGAUGAAGAAUACUAGGGCUUUUUCUUUCUUGAGUGAACUUUGAUUUUCAUGCACAAGAUCACUUGUUCUGAUGAAUAGUAUCAUUAUAAAUACUUUCCCACAUGUUUAGGUUACUCCCCAUUGGUUAGAUUUGAAAAAAUAUCCGUUACUAGCUGUUGGAAGGUCAAAAAGUACUUCUGCAGAACUAGCCGUUAUGCUUCUGCCCGUGCUGGGGUCGACCCAAACUUUUCUGAGGUCGACUCAAACCACUGUUCAUCAGACUUGGGAUCGACUCAACUUCCAGUGGGGUCGACCCAACUUUCACUGGGGUCGACCCUCUCAGGAAUCACAAAACCUUGUAUUUCAGCUGUUUUUCACUGGGGUCGACUCAACUCUUUUUGAGGUCGACUCAAGCUACAGUGGGGUCGACUCAAGCAUUCCUGGGAUCGGCUCCAUCUGGGGUCGGCUCAAGAAAAGUUGGGGUCGGCCCUCUCAGUAAAUUCCAGAGACUUGUUUUCUUGAGGCUUGAAGCUGGGGUCGACUCAAGCAUACUU